CAUGCCAAGUCGAACGAGAAAGCCCUUCGGGGUGAGUACAGUGGCGAACGGGUGAGUAACACGUGGGCAAUCUGCCCCUCGCAGGGGGACAACCGGAGGAAACUCCGGCUAAUACCCCGUACGCUUGCGGAGUCGCAUGGCUCUGCAAGGAGAGGUAGCUUCGGCCAUCCGGCGAGGGAUGAGCCCGCGGUGCAUUAGCUAGUUGGUGGGGUAACGGCCCACCAAGGCGACGAUGCAUAGCUGGUCUGAGAGGAUGAUCAGCCACACUGGGACUGAGACACGGCCCAGACUCCUACGGGAGGCAGCAGUCGGGAAUCUUGCGCAAUGGGCGAAAGCCUGACGCAGCAACACCGUGUGAGCGAGGAAGGCCUUCGGGUCGUAAAGCUCUGUUGUUGGGGACGAAGGGCGAGGGGUUAAUAGCCCCGAGCUUGACGGUAAC
rnacentral:rRNA from 1 species